UAUGUCGGCCGCCUCCAGAUGUCCUGCAUGGUGAGCGUACCCAAAGGGACAAGGACAACUUUUCACCCGGGCAGGAAGUGUUCUACAGCUGUGAGCCCAGCUACGACCUCAGAGGGGCUGCGUCUCUGCGUUGCACACCCCAGGGAGACUGGAGCCCUGCAGCCCCCAGAUGCGAAGUGAAAUCCUGUGAUGACUUCACGGGCCAACUUCUUAAUGGCCAUGUGCUAUUUCCAGUAAAUCUCCAGCUUGGAGCAAAAGUGGAUUUUGUUUGUGAUGAAGGAUUUCAAUUAAAAGGCAGCUCUGCUAGUUAUUGUGUCUUGGCUGGAACGGAAAGCCUUUGGAAUAGCAGUGUUCCAGUGUGUGAACAAAUCUUUUGUCCAAGUCCUCCAGUUAUUCCUAAUGGGAGACACACAGGAAAACCUCUGGAAGUCUUUCCCUUUGGAAAAGCAGUAAAUUACACAUGCGACCCCCACCCAGACAGAGGGAUGACCUUCGACCUCAUUGGAGAGAGCACCAUCCGCUGCACAAGUGACCCUCAAGGGAAUGGGAUUUGGAGCAGCCCUGCCCCUCGCUGUGGAAUUCUGGGUCACUGUCAAGCCCCAGAUCAUUUUCUGUUUGCUAAGUUGAAAACCCAAACCAAUGCAUCUGACUUUCCCAUUGGGACAUCUUUAAAGUAUGAAUGCCAUCCUGAGUACUACGGGAGGCCAUUCUCUAUCACAUGUCUAGAUAACCUGGUCUGGUCGAGUCCCAAAGAUGUCUGUAAACGUAAAUCAUGUAAAACUCCUCCAGAUCCAGUGAAUGGCAUGGUGCAUGUGAUCACAGACACCCAGGUUGGAUCCAGAAUCAACUAUUCUUGUACUACAGGGUACCGACUCAUUGGUCACUCAUCUGCUGAAUGUAUCCUCUCAGGCAAUACUGCCCAUUGGAGCACGAAGCCGCCAAUUUGUCAACGAUCAUGCCAUCUUCCCUGUGAGUUGUUUGGAAGAUGAGCUUUCUACAUUUUGGGGAGCAAAGAGGAAUGAGCAAUUGCAAGCUAACAAGGAAUAUAAAAUGUGUAUAAUCCUGGGUUUAGUGAUGGUGUGAGGAAAUCAGCAAUUUCAAACCCAGUUGGUGGGAGGACAAGUGGGAACAAACUUUGUAGAAGGGCAAUAUACUGGCUGGGCACUGCCCUACAGUAGAGUAAGACACAGUAUUCAGUUCUUCCAAGAUCAGAUGAGAUUGGGUGCAUUCGGGGUGGUAUGGCUAUAGAUCAGUAUCCAGUUCUUUUUAUUACUUCUGAAUCUCUAAGUAUCGUGUUUAUUAUAUGUAAUAUUGUAUAUUUGUGCUUUGUCUUUAUUAGUUCUUCCAGAGCUUUUGUUCUUAUUAUUUAAUAAAGAUGUUAUACUG
rnacentral:sRNA from 1 species